GGAGGGAAGGGAGGCAUGGGGGAACCAGAACCAGGACUGAGCGGGACAGAUUGUUAGAAUCUGGUGCUGAAAAAUGAGAGGUUUUCUAACGGGAGUCGGGUGCUCGUAAACACUGCUGCUUUUGUCCACAGGGACCGCCAAAAUGAAAGUUCCUUGUAGUAACUUUUCGAGAUCCUUAACUAAAAUGCCAUACCAAGCUCAGUUUACUUCAAUGCUAAAAUAAAUAAAAAUAAAAAUGUCUCAUGUGUGACAUCUUCUAUCAACAGUGUGGUCUACCAGGACGGCUUUUAUGGAGCGGAAAUAUAUGGAGGGUAUGCAGCUUACAGAUAUGCCCAGCCAGCUGGUACUGCUGCAGCUGCAUACAGUGACAGUUAUGGCAGAGUCUAUGCAACAGCGGACCCAUAUCACCAUACGAUUGGUCCUGCAGCCACAUACAGUGUGGGCACUAUGGUGAGUCUGUUCCCUGUUUCCUAGCUGCUGACUUAAUGUAUGUGCUAUCAUGAUGAACAGCUACAGCAUCCUCACUCUGUUGUCUCUGAUACCUCACUGUAUGACACACCUGCACACAUGGAUGUUUAUUUUACAAAACUAUUCAUAUGAACUGAAUUACUAACAGUAAAUAAAUAACUCGAUCAAAUAAUUUGCUGACAGGCUUUGUUAAUAAUCUAGAAAGAUCUUUGCAAAAUGUUUACUCUUCGCCUUGUUCCUGUGAGUUGUGUUUCCCUCUGAGAGACCCAUUCUAAUGUUGUAUGUGCAUCUUUGCCACUUCAGUAAAUGAAAAAGGGACAUUUUCUUAUUCUCAGAGUCCCCAUUCAAUUUCAUUGGCUGAAAGCUCCUUGUUUGAAAUCCAAUCGAGACUGAGGAUUCCUCCCCACUGAAAACAUUCUCUUCAAAUUUUGCAAGGGGGAGAGUCGAAUGGUUAAUGUUUGUUUUUAGCUAGCUUUGCAGCUAACAUCAAAGAUGAAAAAAAAGGCCUUUCCAAAGAAAGAAAUAGAGCACCCCAGAAGAUGGGGAGAAACUGAGAGCACAAUUUGUUUUCUUUCGUGGGUGUGGGCAGGGACUUCCUCCAAAGAUUAACGACCAUCUAGUAAAUGCUUCGACGUGCCGUGGGAGAUUAAAGUAGGAGAGAAAGAUAGAGCAGAAAAGGAGGAGAAGGAGAAUUAAAGUUCUUGGUAGCAAACCGGCUGCAGCCGGAGCAGCUGCUCGGUGCAGCGUCUUGGACAGAUGAGAUGAGGGUUGAUGCUGAUUGCUGACGUGCUUGUGAUGACGGAGAUCGAAAGCGCCAACACCUCCCCUAUGUGUCCCCCAAACUGCCCCCAUUCCUCCCUAGUGCAGCUGCUAGCUAAAAGCCUUCAUUAAUUACGACAUUUUUUUCCUCUUCAUUUACUUAAAUAAAACAGUGGCCUCUGUUUUUCUCCUUAUUACUCUACACGUUCUUCUCUUUUGUCUUCAAAUUACUCCUCCCUUUUCCCCCACUCUCCCAUAUCCAAACCCCUCACUACCAAUGUUUAUUCCUAAUUCUCAAUAAAAUAAAGACAUAACACUCCAUUGAUCUUAAACUUUGUCAUGCCUCACAUUCUGAACUUAAGCCCCAAACAAGGUAAGGUAAUAAUGAUGUGACUGAUAAAGUCAGAAUUAUUGGUUGGAGAACACUUUUUCUUUAGAUGAGAAUCAUCAUCGAUCUUCAUCCGACAACCAUGCAUAGUCACAAAUAUUGUGGAAAGUUGUAAUUGUAAUAUAUCCAUUCUCGUCUGCUAUUAGGUUGGUCUGAACAGAGAACAUGGAGAGAGAUACAGACACAAUUUUCCCUCAGUUUCUAUUUCACUACACAUUGGGAAACAGAAUGAGGAAACCAUGGUGGUUUUGUCUGUAAAAAGGUUGUUCUGAUACGAAUAACAGCACAGUAGAUGCCUCUGAUGGAGCCUGAAAUGCUGGAUCAGGUAUUGGCGAGUAUGCGAGUUUAUGCACCAAUCUGAUAUAAUAUUAUCGUAUGGUUUAUCAGGUUACACUACACAGGAACAACACAUCACCAACUCUGUGCAACUCUCAAGAAGGGUGAGAAGGAAGCGAGAUGGCUCACUCGUUAGCUACUUACAUCAUCAGCUCUGGAAAAAAAGAUGGCUGCAUCUGAAAUGGAUGAUGGAAGCAACGAGUGAGCCGUCUCACUUCUUUCUCAUCUCUGUUGAGAGUGAAACACAGCAUGUACAGUGUCCAUUAAGCAGGUGCUAGUGGAGAGUGUAACGUUGGCCAGAGCUAGCAAAAUGUCAGAAAUUUGGCAAUAUUUUACACUGGAAAAUCCCACCAGUUAAAGGGCAACAUGUUUUGAACACACUGGUAUUGGAUCGGUAUCGUCUGAUAUGCAAGUUCAGGUAUCGGAUCGGUAUCGUAUGGAAAAUAUUGUAUCGGAACAUAAAAUGUCUUUGCUUUUAUUCCUGGUUGAUCUACUGUGUAUACAGUAAAAGACAAGCCAGGAUGGCUCAAGGAGCAAUUACGUAUUGUUAUUAUUUGGUUGUGAAUUCACAGCUUGUUAAAUAGCAAUGACGGUUGUCUCGUGUUCGUCUCACCUCAGACGUGUUUGGCCACUUCUUGUACAAACAGACUUUCUGGCCACAGAUGACAGCAACUGUUAGUGAUUCAGUCACUUACUUGUGGUCAUUUUGUUGUCUUUGUUCACUGCUGGGUUGAAUGCUAUCAAGAAUCAAAAUGAAAAACGAACUUAGAAAUCCACGCUCAAGUACAUGCAACAACCACAUACACACAAUCCUAUUCUUUCCACAACUACCUUGUGCACAAAAUUUCCUCAAUUAAACAAAAGACAAGUGGAAAAAGGGAGGAGCGUUUCUUUGGAGGAAAGAGAGAAGUUCAUUUUAAUAUUAAUAAUACAAAGGUUCUACGUUGAAUACUGAUUGGAGCUUUUUCAUCUUUGAUGUUGCAGGCUAGCCUUUACAGAGGAGGGUGCAGUCGCUUCACUCCCUACUAGAAAAGAGAGAGGCACGUCCCCUUUCCUUCCCCGCAAAACAGACACAAAAACAGCAACAAAUGAAAUGACUUAAUAACCAUCUUCACCCUCUUCAUGGAAAACUAAAAACAAAAUGCUUCCAAGUGGCACAUGUGACCCUGAAACUCCAGAAUCACUCUGAAGUUGCUUCCCUAUUGUACACAUUGUCAUUUAUUGAUGUAAUGUACUUAUUUUGGAAAAGAACAUUUUGUUACUCUGUGUUGACUUAAAUGUAUUUGUAUUGCCAUGUGUGCAGUGGUAAAAAAAAAAAAAGACAACAUUCAAUGUAGACAAAGGAGGGAAAGAGUAGAAAUGGGAAGCUUUUAGUCUCCCUCCGUCUCACUCUCUUCCUCUACAAAAUAUUGGUCCGCAACUCCGCUGUUUCAGGGUGGCCUUCUGCGCUAGUUUUAAUCCCAUUUAAUUUCUCUACCUUCAUUGUUUCAAUUAGUCAUUUUCCCCUUAUACAUUAAAAGCACUAAUGUUCAGCAAUUACAGUUUGAGCAACACAUUUCAGAUUGGAUUUAUUAAGUAAAUGAUACGGCCAUUCCACCCCCUCAGAGAACUGGCUCCAAUCUAACUGGAGCUGAGUUUCAGACCGGCUUAAUGGGAUUUAGAGCUGCUCAGCCCAAAGGGGGUGAAACUGCAACAAAUCGCUACCAGGAAGUGAUGCAUUAUGAAACCCAGAAGGUGAGAGGAAGAGCGUGAUGUAUUACUGAAUCUCAACGCAGGAGGAAGUGAUGUAUUAGCAGGGUGUGAAGCAAGAGCUAUGACAGCCAUUGCAAAAAUAGGACGCAGUGUGUUAGAGCCCAUUGAUCGUUGGCACAGGGCCAGAGGCAGGAGGUAUCCCAUUACUGCUGAAUGGCUUUAAAGGAGAAAACCACAUUAUUUCUGUUUCAUGUCUGGUCACGUCCUGCUCACGCUAAGCAAUAAUCCCACAGUUGCUCAAUAUGCAUAUGGAGGAAUACUGACAAGUAUGUUUGACCCCUUAGUGAACAGAUGGGAGGGUGUGAUCCUCUUGCAUUUAGUUAAUACUUGCAAACACAUUUUAAUACCAUCUCAAAGCUACAUUUGUCGCAUUUAGCCAGCAUAGUUUAGCAGGUUAAGUUCAAUAUUUCCUAUUAAUAUUAACACUUUGCUACCAAUAUAUAAAGCUAUGGUUUGAUCUACACUAUUCUGAUGAUCAAACUGAAGUGCAUUUCCUUUCAGUGGACAUGGAAGCUGUAAUAACAGUGGCUAUGAUCAGUUACGUUUAUAUCACAUUGAUCAAAUACAUUUGUCUUUUUGAUAGUUCAGUAAGUUGACUUACAAUAACCUCGACACAUAUGUCCAUCAAAACGUUUCUGUCACAGUUUUUCUCUUGGAUGUAGCUAGGUGGGAAGUCGAGAAUUAGAUUCAACACAGGAAAUUUGAACAAAUGUGCCAUUACUGUGCGUUGUCUCCCCACGCAUGUUGACCCCCCACACAUGUUGACCAGCUCAUCAAUUACCUCUGAAAACAAAAGACAUGUUUACUAAGAUACUUGCACGUGUCUGGUGUUCAGGACCCGCUCCCCCCCCCGACCCAACUCAUCGAGAUCCUUGCCCCGAACUGAUAUCUGGUAUAGGCUGGUUUAGGCUGCCCAUUUAAAGUGAUAAUUUUGGGCCUUUUUAUACAUUUGAAACUAAGAUAAUACAUUUUAAAAUGAAGGGAAUUAUGGAAAUAUAAUUUAAAUGGUUAUUUUUUGCUUAUUUUCAAAAUAUUGAUUGUUAUUUUCAUUUUAUUUAAUAGCCUAUAUUUAUCAUCCAACACCAGCGAUCCAACCAACAUGUUCCAGAACAGAACCCGGAAAUUAAAUAUAAUCAAAAUACCAUCCGCCAAUUUAUUUUUUUGCAGGUCACCUGGCGGGUACCUGUGAGCACACAAGUUGAUUCUGUUAGCACGGAGAGCGAUUUGAGUGUUUGGGUAUAGAGUGGCUGAAAUGGAAACUCUAGCGCAGCUUAGUAUCAAUUCCUCCCUGUCUCCAGGCAUGCGUCUUCUCUCUGACAGACAACAAUCUGUGAUGUUCCCCUUCACCCACAACAAAACGGCCUCAGACCAUCUUAUUGGAUGUCAAGUAAAAGAAGGAAAUAUAAGAUCCUUAAUGCAAACACAAGAUCUCUCAAUUUGAUUAGUUUUCAGUGGGAUGAGUUGUCACCCAGACCUCUAAUUCAAGACCAAUAAAAGAGAAAGAAGCAGCAAAAAGAGCAGUGAAGCCAGAGGAGAGAUGCUCAGGUCAGUCAUUGUAGUUAAAAGUCUUUAGUAUCAGCUGCAGUCUGGACUAGUUUUCCUCUCGUUCUCUGCCGGGAGAUUGACUCUCAAGGUGACCCCCCUCCCAGGUAUAGUGUGUUUUAAUGAGGUUGUCAGGCUGGUGUAGAGAAGCAGCUUGAUAAGUCUGCUCAACCUAAUAACCUCCAACCUGCAUCAAAACCCCAGCUAACCGUAAUGUAACCGGUAGGGAAGGGUUUUACAACCCUGGCUCAGUACAGGAUGAUGAAGACAGAUUACGAUAUUUGUUUUGUAAUUAGAUGGAUGCAUUUCAUGUUUUCAAUAUAAUCUUGGAAGUAGAAUAGAACGUGUGCCGCUGAAAUCCACAUGACACGAGGAUAAAUCUGUAAUGACAGGGAUUUUAAGAAUUGAUAAAUGAGAUCAUGGGCCAGAAAAGGUUGCGAUGCCCAUUUAAAAGCUAAUAGCAACGCCCCCCCAACCCGUGGUAGCAGGACCGCAUUGUCACGGAAAAGUAGCACCACCCUCCGCUCCCCAUAUUUAAACUGUCAGCUCUGUCAGUACUGAUGCUGAUGUUACCACUGAUAAUACUGUUAAUGAUAGUAGUUUUUUCUGGGCACAGAAUGCAGGUAACAUUUGACUGGAGAAGUUUUUUUGCUGCUUGGUACAGGGUUUUCAGUCGAUACCUUACCGAUAGCCAGCCCUUGGCAUAUUUCACAAUAGAAUUUCCAAGUCCUGAUUGCUUGUGAUCGCAAAUAGUGCAAGUGGCUCGUUUCACAAAUGGUUGUCAGUCGCAAAUUGUAGAUAAGUUAGCGAGUUGUACAUUCCUCUACAUGGAACACAAGUAUGAUGGUUAUUUUGAUAAGCAAAAGCGGUCAAAAUGAACGCAAGAGGAAAUUAUCUUGUGUUGCAAGUUAGUUGCAAGUUUAGUAAAACAGGCCCACAGCUGUCCAAAGAAAGCUCUGUUAAUCUGAGUUGGUGUGAAAUAUAUUUAACGGGAUACAAAAUGGGAGUCUGCUUAUCUAAACAUUGAUCUGUAGCAGCGCCAGUGGCCAGAAACUCCACAGUGUGGCAUUAACAGCAUCAAAUCGACACCGUCACUUAUUCACGUUAUCGUUAGUUAACUAGCUGUUGAUGUGACGUGUGACUCAGUGUGAGUUAUCUUUGUUGUAGUUCAAACAAUAUUUCCAUUACUCAACACAUUUUUUGCCCAGUUGACUGUUAAAUGCAAAUAAGAGCAAAUACUAAGUAGCAUUCAGAUGGCACAUUUAGAAGAGUGUGAAUAGAGAUCAGUUUAUUAAUGUCACUACUGUACAGUGAUACUACAGCAAACAUACAUGUCAGUCAUGUUGAUGUGCUGUGUGUGACUGAAAAAAACAGGAACAGUGAGGUCAAAAUAAAUAAAUAAUUAUAAUCUUUCAUAAUCAUUUUAAAAUGUCAAUUUACCGGGAGGAAAUUCUGAUGUGUUAUUGGACACUUACAAAACUCAGAAGUGAAUCUUUAACAUGAGGCUGAUAUCAGCCAGAUGAAUGUUGUCAAUGUGUACACACUCAAACAUGCUUAGGAGACAUACGCUAAGAGCAGCACAGGCAACUCUCCCUAAUACACCCAAGCAUUCAGUUAUACACCAAUCUCACUCACUCUCAUCCAGUCACUCACACACACACACACACACAAACUCCCCCACCAGUAAAUAGCAUCUGUGCCUGCUGUGUCUGAUGGGAUCGUAAAGAGGGGAGUCAGUAGCGCAGGAAGAAAGGGGACCGAGAAGAGAAGCAGCAACCGAGGCAAUUUACCCCACAGAUUAGAGAUAAGAGAGUUCAGUCAAUAAGCACUGAUCUCAUUUGAAGAUAUACCAGACUGGCUAGACUCACACACACACACACACACACACACACACACUAGUUGGUC